rnacentral:tRNA from 1 species
GCGCCCCGUCGCCAAGCCCCACAAGGCAUCGCACACCCAUUCCGCAGAUCGUGGGUUCGAAUCCCACCGGGGGCA